rnacentral:rRNA from 1 species
AGUGAACGCUGGCGGUAGGCCUAACACAUGCAAGUCGAACGGCAGCACAGGAGAGCUUGCUCUCUGGGUGGCGAGUGGCGGACGGGUGAGGAAUACAUCGGAAUCUGCCCAGUCGUGGGGGAUAACGUAGGGAAACUUACGCUAAUACCGCAUACGACCUUCGGGUGAAAGAGGGGGAUCGCAAGACCUCUCGCGAUUGGAUGAGCCGAUGUCGGCUUAGCUAGUUGGCGGGGUAAUGGCCCACCAAGGCGACGAUCCGUAGCUGGUCUGAGAGGAUGAUCAGCCACACUGGAACUGAGACACGGUCCAGAGUCCUACGGGAGGCAGCAGUGGGGAAUAUUGGACAAUGGGCGCAAGACUGAUCCAGCCAUACAGCGUGGGUGAAGAAGGCCUUCGGGUGGUAAAGCCCUUUUGUGGGGAAAGAAAUCUUUCAGGCUAAUACACUGGGAGGAUGACGGUACCCAAAGAAUAAGCACCGGCUAACUUCGU